UGAGCUACCAUGCAAGUCGAGCGAACCUUCGGGUUAGCGGCGGACGGGUGAGUAACGCGUGGGAACGUACCCUCUUCUGCGGGAUAGCCACUGGAAACGGUGAGUAAUACCGCAUACGCCCUUCGGGGGAAAGAUUUAUCGGAGGAGGAUCGGCCCGCGUUGGAUUAGGUAGUUGGUGGGGUAAUGGCCUACCAAGCCUACGAUCCAUAGCUGGUUUUAGAGGAUGAUCAGCCACACUGGGACUGAGACACGGCCCAGACUCCUACGGGAGGCAGCAGUGGGGAAUCUUAGACAAUGGGCGCAAGCCUGAUCUAGCCAUGCCGCGUGAGUGACGAAGGCCUUAGGGUCGUAAAGCUCUUUCGCCAGAGAUGAUAAUGACAGUAUCUGGUAAAGAAACCCCGGCUAACUCCGUGCCAGCAGCCGCGGUAAUACGGAGGGGGUUAGCGUUGUUCGGAAUUACUGGGCGUAAAGCGCACGUAGGCGGAUUGGAAAGUUGGGGGUGAAAUCCCAGGGCUCAACCCUGGAACUGCCUCCAAAACUCCCAGUCUGGAGUUCGAGAGAGGUGAGUGGAAUUCCGAGUGUAGAGGUGAAAUUCGUAGAUAUUCGGAGGAACACCAGUGGCGAAGGCGGCUCACUGGCUCGAUACUGACGCUGAGGUGC
rnacentral:rRNA from 1 species